GCCGCCCCUCCCGAGCCCCACCGGGAGCGGAGCGGCCGCCCGGUGCUGUCGGGGAAAGCUCCCGCUCUCGGCCGCGCCGAGGGGUCGUCAGGUUGGCUUCGGUCCCGGCUGGACAGCUGAUGGAGAGAUGCUUCAUGUCUUCUGUGGCAAGGAGUUUUGCAGCACACCCACAGACUCAAGGAGUUUCCUUUGAUGGGCUUUUUAUCCACUAACCCUCGGGAAGCAGGCUGCCACCACCCUUAUGGAGCGACCCACAACACAAUUUAUCCUACACUGGUGGAGUCAGUGGCCACCGGUGAGCCAGAGGAAGAUUUUUUUUUUGUCAGGCAUCUUUGAUACUGGUCUUGGCAGCAUAUCUUGGAGACAGCAUUGUCAAGCACAUCACCAGCUGUGCUAUUUUUGAGAUGAGGUGGCACAGAAGAGGUUGUGUGCCCUGCUUUGUCUGAACAGGAGUUGUGUAAGUUGUCAGCCACUUUCUGAUGAAAACAGGCACGUGGCAGAUUUCGACCCUCGGACAGGAACCCAAAGGCAUGGCUGAUAAUGUGUAACAAAGGGCACAGAACUCACAGGAGUGGAAGAAAUAAGACUAUAUGAUGCUCAGGCCUUUCGGAAACUAAAGCAAGACAGAGAGCAUCCAAGAUUGUGUUCUGUGUUAUCAUCAGAGAGAGAACCCAGAAGUUGUAAUUACAACACACUGCCUGAUCCACUCAACCCUCCUUCUCUUGGGGGCAAGAGACAAAAAUAUGUGAGAUUUCCCUCCAGUUAUUCCUGUAAGUUUCAGGAUGCUCUACCAGAAAAUCAUGUUGGAGAGUGGGGCAUUUCCGGGAUGGAGACUUUUCUGAUGUGACAAAAUGGUUGAAAGAGGCAGGGAGGCUUUUAAGAAGACACAGCAACUGAAGCAGAGGUGGUGCCCUUACCAAUAGGUUUGUUCUCCAGAAACCCUGUAUCUGCCACCCUGCAGAGACAUUCAUAUCUGUUCCAAGCAAGCAUAAAGCAUGACAUCAUAUUAGCAGGAUUCGCUCACUUUCCAUAAUGCAUCAAACCGCAAAAGGUCUCGCUCUCCUGUCUCUGGUAGUUACAGAAAAUAGCCUUGUAGUUCCUGCUUAAAUGUGUUAUUAGUCCUUACCCAGGCAGCAAAUUUGUGUUCAAUUUCUAGGAAAAAAAUUUGACGGAGGUUGCAUUUUAAACCAGAUGGCCAUAGAUAACCUGUCCUUGUGCUGGUAUUUGUAGCCUAAAUAUAAAAAUGGAUUUUA